UUAGGGGGCGGCUUACACAUGCAAGUCGAGCGGGGAAGGGUAGCUUGCUACCUGACCUAGCGGCGGACGGGUGAGUAAUGCUUAGGAAUCUGCCUAUUAGUGGGGGACAACAUUCCGAAAGGAAUGCUAAUACCGCAUACGCCCUACGGGGGAAAGCAGGGGAUCUUCGGACCUUGCGCUAAUAGAUGAGCCUAAGUCAGAUUAGCUAGUUGGUGGGGUAAAGGCCUACCAAGGCGACGAUCUGUAGCGGGUCUGAGAGGAUGAUCCGCCACACUGGGACUGAGACACGGCCCAGACUCCUACGGGAGGCAGCAGUGGGGAAUAUUGGACAAUGGGCGAAAGCCUGAUCCAGCCAUGCCGCGUGUGUGAAGAAGGCCUUUUGGUUGUAAAGCACUUUAAGCGAGGAGGAGGCUACCGAGAUUAAUACUCUUGGAUAGUGGACGUUACUCGCAGAAUAAGCACCGGCUAACUCUGUGCCAGCAGCCGCGGUAAUACAGAGGGUGCGAGCGUUAAUCGGAUUUACUGGGCGUAAAGCGUGCGUAGGCGGCUUUUUAAGUCGGAUGUGAAAUCCCUGAGCUUAACUUAGGAAUUGCAUUCGAUACUGGGAAGCUAGAGUAUGGGAGAGGAUGGUAGAAUUCCAGGUGUAGCGGUGAAAUGCGUAGAGAUCUGGAGGAAUACCGAUGGCGAAGGCAGCCAUCUGGCCUAAUACUGACGCUGAGGUACGAAAGCAUGGGGAGCAAACAGGAUUAGAUACCCUGGUAGUCCAUGCCGUAAACGAUGUCUACUAGCCGUUGGGGCCUUUGAGGCUUUAGUGGCGCAGCUAACGCGAUAAGUAGACCGCCUGGGGAGUACGGUCGCAAGACUAAAACUCAAAUGAAUUGACGGGGGCCCGCACAAGCGGUGGAGCAUGUGGUUUAAUUCGAUGCAACGCGAAGAACCUUACCUGGUCUUGACAUAGUAAGAACUUUCCAGAGAUGGAUUGGUGCCUUCGGGAACUUACAUACAGGUGCUGCAUGGCUGUCGUCAGCUCGUGUCGUGAGAUGUUGGGUUAAGUCCCGCAACGAGCGCACCCUUUUCCUUAUUGCCAGCGGGUUAAGCCGGGAACUUUAGGAACUGCCAGUGACAACUGGAGGAAGGCGGGACGACUCAGUCACAGGCCCUUA
rnacentral:rRNA from 1 species